rnacentral:rRNA from 1 species
CAGUCGCCGCGGUAAUACAGAGGGUGCGAGCGUUAAUCGGAUUUACUGGGCGUAAAGCGUGCGUAGGCGGCUUUUUAAGUCGGAUGUGAAAUCCCUGAGCUUAACUUAGGAAUUGCAUUCGAUACUGGGAAGCUAGAGUAUGGGAGAGGAUGGUAGAAUUCCAGGUGUAGCGGUGAAAUGCGUAGAGAUCUGGAGGAAUACCGAUGGCGAAGGCAGCCAUCUGGCCUAAUACUGACGCUGAGGUACGAAAGCAUGGGGAGCAAACAGGAUUAGAUACCCCCGUAGUCCCUGUCUCUUAUCA